rnacentral:lncRNA from 1 species
UGACAUAGAAGCCAGCAUCAUCAGCUAUGAACAUGCAGAAUGAAGCAAGGGGAUUCAGCAGAAACAGUGAAGACCCUGAGAAUAAGGACAAGUGUUUGGUGGACAAAGCACCAGGAUCUGGAGUUACUAGCAACUAAAGGAGAAAGGCAUGAGGUCAAUAGAGGUAGAAAAAAAAAAAAGCCCAAGGGACUACAGAUGGUGGAGCCUGUUGAGAUGAGAGGAUGCACAAAUCCAAGGUCAAACCCAUGCAUGCAAGGAAGCACUCUGGAUUUCAUGGCCCAGAGCUUUCAUCUUACAAACCAAGUCAUUGUCCAACCUCCAACUCUUCCCUUCUGCCCAGUCAGAUCUUCCUUGCCUGAAGGAGUCUUGCUUUAAGACCUAAGCAGAUGACAGCUUCGUACCCAAGAGGUUUUCAAUCAAGAUAAAAUGUAUUUGAGGAGCUGUACUUAAGAAACCACAUCCAAGUAGCCUGCUUCAAUAUGUAGCCGACUUACAUGAGAACAUCCUGGAUUUUUAAGACAAUGAUGCAUCAAAGUGGGUCAGAAGAGAUUACUCUUUCUAAGAGAAAUUAGCUUCUAUGUCAUGAGGAUACCCAGGUAGCUGUGUGGACUCAUACAGUGAGGAACUGAGGCCAUCUGUCAAGAGCCAGAGAAGAAUGGAGGCCCCUGCCAGUGACUAUGAGAAUAAACCACUGUGGAGUUGCACAGUGCAGUCCCACUCAACCCUUUGGCUGACAGCAGGUCCCACUGAUGCCCUCACUGCAGCCUUCUGAGAAUCUCUGAGGCAGGAUGAGCCACCUAUGUCCCUUCUGAGUCACUGCCCCACAAACACUGUGAGAGAAUGAAUCAUUGCCGUCAAAAGUCAGAGUUUUGUGGUAAAUCAUUAUGCUGUAAUGGAUAACCAGUAUAGCUCUACUUUACUGGAAAAACAAAUUAGGGUAUUUUCCAUAUUUCUCUAUGAUCUAUAAUGGUUAAAAGUAAAUUAAAAUCUUAAGAAUUUGAUGGGACUUACAAAUCCAUUUGGAACAAGAAGUUUUGUUUGCUGGGUGAAUUUUGGAAGUAGAUCUUUGACACACUUAAAUUGUCUUUUGUCAGCUUCUUGAUAGAUUUAAAAUUUAUUUUGGCC